rnacentral:rRNA from 1 species
CGGCCGCGUCGACCGCUCAUCAGACACCACAAAAGGUGUUGGUUCAUCUAGACAGCAGGACGGUGGCCAUGGAAGUCGGAAUCCGCUAAGGAGUGUGUAACAACUCACCUGCCGAAUGAACUAGCCCUGAAAAUGGAUGGCGCUCAAGCGUGUUACUUAUACCCCUCCGCUGGGGCGUAAAUUUUGCCCCAGCGAGUAGGCAGGCGUGGAGGUCCGGUAAAGAAGGUUUGGCAGUGAUGCUAACUGGAACGGCCUCUAGUGCAGAUCUUGGUGGAAGUAGCAAAUAUUCAAGUGAGAACCUUGAAGACUGAAGUGGGGAAGGGUUCCAUGGUAACAGCAGUUGGACAUGGGUUAGUCGGUCCUAAGAGAUAGGGAAACUCCGUUUUAAAGCGCCUGCUUGUUCGUCGACGCGGCCG